UACGUAGGUGGCAAGCGUUGUCCGGAAUUAUUGGGCGUAAAGCGCGCGCAGGCGGCUUUGCAAGACAGAUGUGAAAUCCCCGGGCUCAACCUGGGAACUGCAUUUGUGACUGCAUGGCUGGAGUGCGGCAGAGGGGGAUGGAAUUCCGCGUGUAGCAGUGAAAUGCGUAGAUAUGCGGAGGAACACCGAUGGCGAAGGCAAUCCCCUGGGCCUGCACUGACGCUCAUGCACGAAAGCGUGGGGAGCAAACAGG
rnacentral:rRNA from 1 species